rnacentral:lncRNA from 1 species
CCUGGCUGGGCACGCGCGGAGUGCCAGGUGACGCAGCUGGCGGUGUGCGCGUCGGCGAUCCUGGGCGGGACGAAGCCCAGCGGCGAGUGCUGCGGCAACCUCCGGGCGCAGCAGGGGUGCUUCUGCCAGUACGUCAAGGACCCCAACUACGGGCACUACGUCAACAGCCCCCACGCCCGCGAGACACUCCAGACCUGCGGCAUCGCCCUCCCGCACUGCUAGGCCUCCUAGCCGACCGAGUCUACUCUGCUACGCUAGUUACUCUAGCUGAGUAAGUGCUGUGGUACGCAAGUAUAUGUUGGUAUGUUGGAAUAAAACGAUGGUGAUCUACGGCGUCAGGCUGCUGGCCGGUGAACUUGUGUUGGGGCUUGCAUAGGAUCCAUUGAUUUGUCUCACUAUCACUGCUCAGAUUGUCUACAGUCAGAUUUGGAAAUCCACCCCGUUCCCCUAAAUGUCCGCCGACGCGUUCGGACGUUGUCUCUGGAUAACGCCAGACGACCCCUCAUGUGUCCUUCCCGAGAGGCACUGUCCUUAUAUCUAAACCCUCAAAUUCAUCUAAUCUAUGCACGUGGAUCAUAUAGUAUAAAUUGUUCACCAAUUCAACAAUGUAACAAAGCAAAAUAAACCACAAUUCAACAAUCCGGACAUGGCAAAAAUAAAAUUCAACGUCCGAGCCACGACUGGACAAUCUGAUGAAUCACUCGUUGGAUGUCAUCCGUGUCGUGUGAUCUGCCGCCAUUCGUGGCUCAUGCGCUGCCUCGUAAUCUCUAUGCAUGUUGAUCUCCUUCUUCCUCUCCUCAAGCCACUUCUUGCCUUCCGCACCCAACAGGCCUGCGUCCGCCAACAUUAUCAUAAAAUUCUUGGUGUCUCGAGCAAAUUGCAACCUCUCCUCAAUCUCUAUUGAUCAAAAGUCCAGGCCUUCUCGAACUCCCAUUUGGGACACGCCUCCUUCUCCAACUAUCUUCUCCCUCUCAAUUUCCAACUUGUUGCUUUCAAUUUGCAACUUAUUCACUACUAGGGAAAAGCUUAUAGGCAGACGCUUACUAGUAGCGUGGAUUUAUACCCCUCGCUAUUGCUACUUACUAGUAGCGCGAGUUUAUAACCCCCGCUACUGCUAAGUCGAUAGUAGUAGCGCGGGUUUAUAACCCUCGCUACUACUAAGUGGUCUCUGCCAUGCCCCCCGACAUACCAUAGUAGCAGCAAGGGGUAUAAACCCGCGCUACUGCUAAGUUGAUAGUGGUAGCGCGGGUUUAUAACCCUCGCUACUACUAAGUGGUCUCCACCGUGCGCCACCCGGGACAUGCCAUAGUAGUAGCGAGGGGUAUAAACCCGCGCUACUACUAUCGACCCACCAAGACAUGUGUACACAUAGCGUGCGGAGGCCCAAAUCCAAACCCACACUCUUCUGAUUCCCCUUCUCUUCCCACCCGCGAUUCCCUUGCUCACCCACCGCCACUACCGGCCUCGCACCUCGGCGCCACUCACAAAUCUGACGACCUCCUCUCGCACUGCAGACCCCUCCCCCUCCAUCAUCCUUCUUCUCCGCUGUUGGAAGGAGAGGGAAACCAGCAGAGCGUCGUCCAUGGUGGCGGCCAGAUCCGCCAUGGACGUAGCCACUUACACCUCCUCGCCGGGUCAAGGGUCCCACGACAAGCAGCAGCAGGUCACCAGGCUUCAUCUAGGGUUUCGGGUGUCGGCUCCAACUCCGGCGGCCACCGGUGAGUUCCUCCUCCUACUGCUCUCUAUCUCUCUCUUCCUCUUUCUAAUAAUUUUCUCUUCUUUUAUAGCAGCAGUAGAAGAGAGGUGCGGGCACAAGUUGGGUGGGGAAGCACCAUCACCAUGGACAACUUCAUCCCCUCCAGGACCGGUAGCAGCCAUGGAUGGAGAGGACGAUGACGCCCAACAGAAGCAGCCUCCAUGGAUGGAAUUUUUUUUUAAUUCUCAAUUAGUUAGUAGUACCGCGGGGCCUUGACCCGCGCUACAACUAAGUAGCAGUAGCGCGGGUGGCAAUCGUGCUACUACCACUAGAAGUAGCAGUAGCGCGGGUACCACCCGCGCUACUGCUAAAAGUUAGUUGUAGCGCCCUAGCUGUAGCGCAGCCCCCGCGCUACUGCUAGGGAAUUACCCCCGCGCUACUACUAGGGUUUUCCCUAGUAGUGAUUGUUCAUCUUCUCCCGGUUCCAAUCCAUCCUCUCUUUCUACAGAUUCAAUAUGCGCUUGUACCCAUCCUCUUUCUUGUCAAUCCUUAUGGAAAAAUGCAUGUCCAUGUGGUGGACAUUUUUUACGUCGCAGCAUCACGAAUGAUCCUACCCUUAUCUCACUUGUUUCACUUUACUUGCCGGUUAUUCAUUGCCACGGUGACUCUUUCAUUACCCAAUGGAACUUCUUCCUCUUCCUUAUGCAAUCCAAUGGACUGGUGGGAGCUUGAGCCAUCAUUUGUCUUUAAUUUCUUGUUGCCUUUCUUGAGGUCAUCCACUACUUUUAUCCACUUUGUUUGGCCAUUAAAUUUUAUCAAAAAUGGCUAAAAUUGAAUGGCUUCUUCUCUGUUUGUUGGUACAAAGUGGCCGCCAACACCAUCUAUAUAAAAAAGUUAUCAUGAUAACCCGACAUAAAAAAAUAGCAAUGCAAAUUGUGACAAAGAAAAUCAAUUCAACUCACAUGACUUUGGACUCCAAUCGCACUUUGAUUCCGGCCACGCACAGAAGCAUAGUGGCCAACAAACUUGUUGACGUGAUCUUCGAUGGUGGACCUUCUAUGUUGGAGAGACGACACAUUACAGGUGGUAUUGUUAGGAUUCGGCUCCACGUAUUCCUUGUGUUCAUUAUAGUGCUUGUGGAUUUUCUCCCAAUACUUGUUAGCCUUCUGCUCUUUGCCACUUAUGGGGUCCAAGCUUAUCGCCAACCAAGAUUUAACCAACAGAACAACCUCAAUUGUUGUGAAUGUCGUACCUAUUGCCUUGCUUUUCUUUGCCCUUUUCUUCUUAGUGCUCGAUGUGCCCCAACAUAAAAAGUAGGAUAAUUUGGAUCCCACAAGGCACAUACUCCAUAGGGUCCGUAGGCUCUUGCCCCUCAUUGAUCAUGUUUGACAUGAAGUUUUCCUAAAAUAAUCAUGAUUCCAAAUAAACUAACGUAAUAUGCAACUACUUGAUUCAAUGGGAUAUGCAACUAACUAAUCCACAACAUCAUAGUUAAUAUAACGAAUGAACCAGUAGAAAAUGGAGCAAAAUUUGUACUGUCUCCUGACGGAUCAUUUCGUCCAACAGGAACCGGGCAGAUUAGGCAUUCUGUCUCCAUGGACGAAUUUUUCUAUGAUCUUUGUUGAGAUCAAAGUUUAUGUUAAUUCCCAUCGUAUCGCGACAACUGCUUAGCGGGGCCGGUAUGGUCCACCAAUAACGGAGUCACAUCCGGCAGAUCUCGGGUAGCGAGUCCCGAGCUAAGUGUGGCCCACCAAUGACAGACUAAAAUCCAGUAGAUCUCGGGUAGGGGGUCCUAAGCUAAGUGUCUCAACGCGGUGGUAAUGUGUGCACGGGUUUUCGCACAGGUUCGGGCUCUCCUAAGAGAUAAAUCCCUACGUCUUGUUGUACUACUUUGGGAUGAAUUACAAGGUUUCGGUGAUCUACCUUGACAUUGUUGUGUGUUUCUAGAUUUGAUGAUGUAAGUUGCGUUCUAUUGUCUAGCCCAGCCUCGGCUUAUAUACGAAUAUCGGAUGACUAGGAUUAGAGGAGUCCAAAUCGCCUAUGUUGUUGGAGAAGAGUCCUCCACGGAUAAGGAGUGCUUGAACGACAAGACUUCUUGAUUUUCCUUGGAGAUCGCCAUGGGCCGCCCAAAGUGGCCCAGGACAGAACCGACAAGGGGGUCCUUAGCGAGGCUCACCUGGCCGGGAGUCAUCAUGGUGAGAGGCCCUCUAGCCAGGACACCGUCACUCAGGGCGUAUGUGUUGGGAAAAGUAGUAGAAAAAAAGAAGAUGUGUCGGUGUAGAUCGCACUGGGAGUUCCUCGGUCCCUUCAAGGGAAGACCGAAAGCGCGACCUCUCUACAAGUUACAAGUGUACAGUCUUCACGAUCCAGCAUCGCUUUGCCAUCUAGAGCUAAUUGUCGCCGGAGAAUUAGAGGAAGGAGAUUAGAACCACAUUGGGCUUCUAAUUAUAAGGAUUAGAGGAUCUAGCUCUAGCUCUAAUUGAUCAACUAGGACCAACUAGAAGUAGAACUAGAGAAUUAGAGGAGGCUCUAAAACUUGUCUCUCUCAAUGGGGAAAAUCCUCUAGUAUAUAUAGGUUUGAGGGGAGAGGAGGGGCGCCAUACAUGGGUGAAAGGGCUCCCCCCUUGUGCUGGCCUAGAGGGGGAGGAGGAGUCCUCCCCCUAGUCCAAUUCGGCCUCCCCAAAUGGGAAAGGGGGCGCCUCCCCAUUUGGGCCCUUGUGGCCCGAUCCUCCUUCCACUUCUUGGCCUUUUAAUACCUGUAAAAGCCUCCUAGUAAUUACUAGAGCCUUUUAUUAUUAAUUUAACAUCUCUGGAAACAUUUUUCCACCUAUAUAUUAUUUAUCGGUAAUACCCGGUAUUGCCCGAUAAACUCUGAAAUCCUUUCGGUGACUCUAAAACUCUUCCGGUACCUCUCGAAACUAUUUCUAAUACUAAGAAACUAUUUUAAGAAUAAAUCCUCGAUACUCAAGUCCUACUAACACUCUGCAAAUCGUAAUUACAUUAAGCGUGUGACCCUGUAGGUUUGGUUAAACAUAUACAUGAACAAAAACCCCUUUGUUCAAAGACCGAUAGCGGAAACAUGGGCGUAUGUAUCGAUUCCUAUGAGUACAUGAAUGAUAUUCGAGCGAACCUUUGGUUAUCAUGUGUUAUUCCUUUUGCUUCGCAACAAUGUACAAAACCCGAGAUGUAUCUGUAUCUUCUUGAGUCAUACACGUGCUCACUAUACCGAUCUUCUCGUUACCAGUUUUCUUCUUCUUUCUCAUUAAUAUGUUCCAGCAUCCCUGUGACAUAGUCACCUGUGUCUGACCAAACGAUGAUAUAUGCCAUCACACCGAGAGGGACCUAAGAAUUUAUCUCCGUCAUCGAAGGAGAAAAUUCCACUCACGAGUUAUCUAGUCCCUUGUCAAACUUUCAGAUGAACAUGUAAGUUUUUGUGAUGAUCAUCGACGUUUGAGCAAUCCCAAAGUCCGCCCUACGGUAAGAAGUGACUACGAUUAUCUCAUGGUCUAAGGAACUAAAACACAUGUUAACACUUCAUGUUAUAAUAAUUGCUUUCAGAACAUAUCAACUCAAAGUAUAACAAACAAGUUUGGGUCGAUUCAACAUGGUCGUUCUUCUAACGUCAUACUCUGUUUUUUUAGGACUAUCGUUACACUUAACGAUAUCCUAAGAUCUGGAAAACAUGAUCACCAACAACACUUGAGCUAGUCUUAGAGGCGAGAUUAGGAAUCUUAUUUUACCUUUUGUCAUUCCACACGUGCAUAUUAGUUUUUCACUGGAUCGCACAUUUCAGGAUCAUCACAGUUAUAGCGUAGAAUAUAAACUCUUAAUCAUGAAUAUGAAAAUACAAUAUUAUUGCUUCUAGUGCAUAGUUCCAACACCAGUAGGCCUCGUGGCGGCCUUGUCACAGCGGUCGGUGCAAGGACCCAUCUUGAAGAUAAAUUAUAAUCUUGGCAUGCAAGCCAAGAACCCUCAUGGCAAGGUCGGUUAGGAUUCCUAUAAAACCUAGCUCUUGCUGCCCAUUCAUAAGGCGAGACUAGGGUUAGUUCGAGGCAUUUGUUCCAUUCUACAGACCUCGAUAGUACUCAUCAUCCUCCACGUGUAACCCCCUCGCACGAGGUGCUCCCACAUAUCAAUCCAAAACAAACUAGGAGUAGAAUAUUACCUUGAUCAUGAAGGCCUGAACCUGGGUAAAACGACCCAUGCAAACUCCCUUCUAGUACUUCCGGCUACGCUCUCCAGCCUACUGAGGGCACUGGCGGUUUUCUGCACCAUCAAUUAAUUAAACAUACAAAAGUAAUUACCAUAAAAAUGGUGUAAAUGUUUCAUUGUGAAUGGAACUUAAUUCGUUGAUAUGAUGGACACCAUAAGUUUUGUAAAAUGUAGAAGUUAAUUACUUAGUUUUGAAGCAUCGUCGACAUCUGGCAAUCUUAAAAUUGCUAAUCACAUAUGUUGAUUCAAUCAUGUGCCUUACAAUAAAACAUAUACCAACAAAAACUGCAUACCUAAAAGCUAAAACAAAAAAACCAUUUGGGCCAAAAUAAGCCCAAUGGAAGUGGCACAGUCCACUUCCUUUUUCGUUUUUCUAAUUUUUGGGGAAAGGGGGGACGUGGGCUGCAACCCACUUGAUCUUAUCACCCGGGUUGUUAGGGUUGGGGUUGCCAAACACUUGUACCGAUGAGGGGUCCUAGUCUGCGAUUUCAGUAUUGGGAACUCUCUUGGCGCCCACCACUGCUCUUUUCGCUUGUUCCCACAUGUCAUAUGUCGUUCGAUCCAGUUUUUUAUCUGCUCGAUUUUCUUCUCCCUGCUCUCUUACAUUUCAUGAACUUCAAAAAAUAUGAAAAAUAAAAAAAUGAAUUAGAAAUAGUUCAGAGGGUAGAUUAUUGACCAGCUGACCGUUAACCUUUCAUCUCUGACCAGAUCCUUUGUCCGUAGUUUUUUUUGGAAAAAAUCAUGUAUAUGAGAAAAAUAUCACAAAAAUUGACAAAAGAUCAUAAGUUUGAAAGAAGUUUGUAAAAUUUAAAAAAUCCAUGAUUCUAGUUUGGAAUUUUUUCAUAGAUUUGAAAUUGUUCAUAAAGUUAAGAAAAAUUUCACGGGUUUAAAAAUAAAGUUCAUCAAUUUGGAAAAAAAUAUUGAUUCGGAAUUGGAGAAAACAUCAUGAAUUCAAAUAAUGUUCACAAACUUGUGAAAAAUAUCUUGAAUUUGAAAAAAUUUCAUAGGUUCAAGGAAAGUUCACGAAUUUGAAAAGAAAAGUUCAAGAAUUUUGAAAGAAUCCCAAUUUGGGAAAGUUUAUGAAUUUAUUUUUUCUAUUUUCUUAAAAGUUCAUGCAUCUGAAAAAAUGAAAAAUGAAAACAGAAAAACCGUAAAAAUGGUCCAAAGCUUGAAAAAGCUUCCAAAAACCGGGACGAGUGACUCCCGCAAAAGUGCAUUACGUGGGCUGGCCGAACUGCUUGGGUAGUGAGCGUCGCAUAUGAACAGAACAUUAUCUGGUACGUUAAGCGUCAUAUAGGAUUUGUGUCUCCCGAUCCCCUUCUCCCUAUUGUUCGCCAUUAAGAUUUGUUUCAUAUGAGUUACCAAAGAGGCAACGAGACAAUAAUCAUUGUAAGUUGUACACCAUAUUCUCAUUAUUUCUUCACAAGGCUUUUGAGGGUGUUUCGGCUACUUAUCAAAUAUAUUUUUUCUCACAUUUUUCCUAUGGUUUUUUGGGUGAAAUUCUGAUAAUUAUACAAACGAUUCGAGAUAGUACAUAAAAACAAGAAUAUUCGUUGUAUAGGGAGGAGCUAGUGUGAAUUGUACGAUUCUUGGUUACAUCGCAUUGCACACNNNNNNNNNNNNNNNNNNNNNNNNNNNNNNNNNNNNNNNNNNNNNNNNNNNNNNNNNNNNNNNNNNNNNNNNNNNNNNNNNNNNNNNNNNNNNNNNNNNNNNNNNNNNNNNNNNNNNNNNNNNNNNNNNNNNNNNNNNNNNNNNNNNNNNNNNNNNNNNNNNNNNNNNNNNNNNNNNNNNNNNNNNNNNNNNNNNNNNNNNNNNNNNNNNNNNNNNNNNNNNNNNNNNNNNNNNNNNNNNNNNNNNNNNNNNNNNNNNNNNNNNNNNNNNNNNNNNNNNNNNNNNNNNNNNACUAAUGGCACAACCACAAGAUGGCAUAAACAUGAUGCCCAGAGUAGAGAGGAAUGUGACGCUUGGUAAAACAGAAGCUGCAACACUGCGCAAAACUACCCAAGCAAAGAACAUGUCCCAAAUAUCAAAAUCUAUCGCUGGGCAUGCCACGAGCAAUCAAGACGAUGCCUUCAUGAAGAAAAACAAUGCCGUGACACACAAGCUUUGCAUAUUUAUGAAAAAUGUAUAUGGUUAAGUGCUCUUUUUUUGCUUAUAUUGCUUAAGCAACAGUAUGUGUAGUUCAACCCAGGUGUAUAUGUAUAUCCCGCCAAUUAUAUCGUCAAUAACGAUUAUGAAUCCAUCCAUUCAUCUAUCUCUCACACUCUUUAGUUUUCGCUUGUAACACGACCGAAGAGACUAGCGCACCACAACCAUAAACCAAUGUUGGCCUCUUGUGACCUUUCGAUUGCGCCCCGCAAUGCAGGUGGUGUUGCUGCGUUAUGCUGUCUCAAAUGUGCGGAGCCUUUCGAUUGUGUCGAUGGUGCAGUGUCAUGGUCUUGUCUGCUAGGCGAUGCCGACUUCGCCCGUGGCACACAGGCGCCGUGGCGUCGUCUCGGCCUCGCGUGACCUUUCGUAUGCACCCUCGGCACAGGUGGUGUCGUGGCGUUGUGCAGUCUUUGAUGUGUGAAGCCUUUUGAAUGCGUCGAUGGUGCGGUGUCCUGGCUUGCUCGGCUGGCCAAUGCCGUUCGAUCACAUUGGUGGUGCUCUGUGUUGUGUUGGGUUGUGUCUUCCCUCUUUGUUGGUAUGUUGUGGUGUGUGUUGUUUUUGCUUUAUCUCUCCUCCUCCUGUUCCCCUGUAAUUCUGCUGCACUUGAACCUAAAAGGCAGUGGGGCGGUCACCUACCUUUGGAUGCCUCGCAUGAAUUCAAUGAACUCGUCCGCUAGCUUCCGCGUACCACCCACCGAGCAGAGCCAGCGAGCAACCAACACCGGCCAACUACCCACUGGAGUUGAAUGCAGGACGUCCAAAGUAAUGCAGGACGUCCAAAGUGUGCCCGUAAACCAUUCUGCUGACCGUAGUCAUGGCGAGCUGGUGCAAUUCAGUGCAUGCUCUAGCUGUAGGGUAGAGUGUUCAACUGAUUGUUACAGCGGCCGUGGGCGAUUCAUUAGACGGCUCCCGGCAGGUGAGUGGUUCGUUUGCAGUGAUGGACGUCCUCGCAUUUCACUUAUUGCCCCUGCAUCUUUCUUUAAUCGCUCACCUGCUCCGUCGGCGGCGAUGGCCGCGUACGCUCCCUACGUGUCGCCGCAUGGCAUGCACAUGGCCGGCUCGGGCCACGGCGAUGCGUGGCUAGCUAUAAAUAGCCCAGCCGGGAGCUCCUAGAUCGAUCUCCACACAACUACCAGUACACUCCACUCCCAUCACACACACGGACACACCUGCGAGAGCGUGAGCCAUGGCGUCCAUGGGGAAGAAGCAGGUGGUGGCGGCGCUGAUGCUGGUGCUGGUGGUGCUGGCGGCGGCGCCGGGCGGGGCGCACGCGGCGUGCCAGGCGUCACAGCUGGCGGUGUGCGCUUCGGCGAUCCUGUCCGGGGCCAAGCCGAGCGGCGAGUGCUGCGGCAACCUGCGGGCGCAGCAGCCGUGCUUCUGCCAGUACGCCAAGGACCCCACCUACGGGCAGUACAUCCGCAGCCCCCACGCGCGCGACACCCUCCAGUCCUGCGGCCUCGCCGUCCCGCACUGCUAGGCGCCGGCAGGCCCCUGGCGCACAUGGCAAGCUAGCUGCCUCAGUGACCAUGAGAGCGUCAGACUAUAGCUAGCCUAUCUGAGUGCCUACGUGUUGCGUCCAUGAAAGCAUCUUCCUGUCAACCAUGUGGUUCGACUUUGAUGAUGCUGGAAUAAAAAUAUAAAAUGUUGGGUGAUGAUCUACGGCAGCCAUGUUGCUUCUUGGCUGCUGCUGCUGGUAAUAAAAUUUGUGUUGCAACUUGAUGAGAUCGGCUGAGUUGUGUUCAGUGACCAAACCAAACUGCCCCUAUCAUAGAAUUGGUAAAUCUAGUGGUGCGGUAUGUAACGGCGAAGAAUCAACCGUUAGUGUUAUGGUCAAGAAUGGUGCAGUGACUAGGUACAAGAGGUUUGAAUGGAAUACAUAGAAAUGCUUGUGGGCCCUCUGCAUGCACCAUAACUUUUUUCAAGUCACAGUGAAGGGGGGAAUGAUUGCAUGUAUGCUAAGUAUUCUUUCUCUCUAUCCUGUACAACAUACUUUUAUUUUAUUUUUUAAACGAAUUUCUUAUAGAUCUUCCCUAAAUCAAAAGAAUGUUCUCAUUUUUUAGUAAUAUUUCAAUUCACAGCGAGAAGAUCUUCGAAACAAAACAAAUCAUUGAUAAAAACAUGAACCAGUUUUUAUUUUAUUGUUGCUAUCCCAUUUGAACUAGUUUUAGUAAUUUACUCUUUCAAUUGUAUUUGAAAUCAUUGUCACAUAUUUAAAAAACCAUUUCAUAGAUUAAAAAUUAUUAGUUUCACACACUGAAAUAAACAUUUUAGGAAAAUAUAAGUAAGUUUCAAACAAAAAAAUAUGUUUUAUAUAUUAAAUUAUAAGUUCAAAUACUGAAAUAAGAAACUUCAGAAAAUACAAAUAUUUUUCUCAUUAUAUAGUUAUUUACAGCUAGCUAGCAGAACAACUAGAACCCUAGCUGGGCAUAUUGGUUGGCUUCGGUGUGCUCUGCCUACGGCACAAAAGUUGGCGAUCAGCACUUGGAUGCGCGCAAAAUGCUGGACUUGCAUAAAAUUUUGUAUGGGUUCGACCUUGAAUCUACAAAGGGUGUGUCGUCACAUAUAUCCUCCCCCACACCCCACCCCGCCAACAAAAAAGUCAUAUUUCGCGCAUAUAGGCAAACUAGAUGAUAUCCCGCGCGUUGCUGCGGGAAUCAGUUGCAACAUAUAUCAAUAGAAUAUAGCUACAUGAAACAUUAAUAUUUAGAUUAAUUAUAUGAGAACUAAAACUGAAUUAAUAUAAGUAAUCUUUUCCCAUGCACUGUUGCAUGUACAUGUUGCACUUUACCCAUGCAUGAUUGCACAUUAAGGUGGCAUAGUUGCAUGUUGAGAGAAAUAUAUUAGUGGGAUCACCUACUUAGUUAUAGUAGUAUAUAACAUUAGUAUCCAUAUAAUAUAGAUUUUGAAACCAAAUGGUAAUAUCACUCAACUGUUAGAAAUGUUGAUUGAAAAAUGAUAAAUCGAUAGCAUGUAAUGGACAAAUGCAGAAAUUAAUAUAUAUUCUAUUUAGCACGUGAACAGCUUGAUUGAUUGACAUUUGCAGAUGUGUAGAAAAAGGUAAUAUUGAUAAGUUGGUCAAAUCUGGCAGUCUACCAGUGUAGCACAAACUAAUUCGUGCACAUUGCCCUGUUUGGUCCACAUCGAUAAUUAACCAAUCUAGGCGACAUAAUUAUUUUUUAAUUGGUCUUGCAAUAAUACUACCCAAUCAGAUACACAAAUUAAAUAAAAUUGCAUGCAUAUACUUUUGUUUCUAGUAUAACCAUCUCACUCAAGUAAAAAAAAAAUACCAAACUUGUCUCAUUAGGCAGGCCGCAUGCCAUCGAAUGGGUGUAGUGCAACAACAUAUGGAUUAAUCAUGGAGUGGCAAGCUUAAAAAAAGGUACAAAAAGACCAAUUAGGCAGCAGCAAAAAUUCGUCGCCUAGAGGUAGCAACGCAUUAGGAGUCUGAUCCAUGCAAACUGUAGUGAUUCAAUACAGAAAAGGAAACAGUCAGGCCGAGAUAAAUUGAAUGAGUAACUGAACAAAAAAAGGAUGUGUUUUUACCUAGUACUUGUACCACGUAUUAGAAGGGGAGCAAACGCCAUGGCCAUCAACAAAUGUUACGGUUUAAAAAGCACGCAUGUGUUUUGCAGGUCCACAUUAUCCCAAUAAUUUAUAGAGAAAACAGAUAUGAGGGAAACCUUUUGAUCUGACGUAGAGCGACCAUGACAGCUAUAGCACCAGAGUAGUGGCCACUGUAUGUCUCCAUUGCCAACGACCAGGAUCUGAAGGGGAUGCAAGCACACAGUGAAUCCAGAAGCGAGUAACGAUUCAAUGCCAAGACGAAUUACCUGAGGGGAAGUUAGGGGGUAAACAUGUUAGAGAAUUCACAUCUGAUCUUUUGAAGCCGGAGUAGAAGUUUGCCAGCAUCACCUGCGGCGCACAGAACAUGGGAAGGGAAGUGCCUCGGUGUUGAUCACAUAUGAGGAAGAUCCAUAGAGGGGUUCGCUAGGCUUGUGGACGGUGGCGAACCGGCGGCUGACCGCUCCACUACCUUGUUGCUUUCAUGGCUGCAUGUGAUGUACUUAUGGGAGGACGAAACGGCUGGGGGAUUGAUGGGAUAGUGAAACCACAGGCUGCUAAAAUUCUUUGGGACCAUAAAUGUCACGGUUAACUAUUGGAUUUCGGAGCAAAUCUAGUGCGCUCCAGUAAUCAGAAGCUGAAAGGAAGUUGUAUUUUCACCACUACUAGAAAAAAGGCUGUUAGUGGCGCAUCAGUUUUUUCUAUUAAUGGCGCACUAUAGGUGCGUCAUUAUUAACAAAUAGUAAUGGCGCACCAGAAGUGCGCCGUUACUAUCACAGAUACUAAUGGCACACCUAUAAUGCAUCAUUACAGUGCCUAGAAGUGCGCCAUUACUAUCUGACUUAGUAAUGGCGCACCACAUAGAAGUGCACCAUUACUAACAAAUUUUUUUCAAAUUUUUUUUAGGAAAAAAAUUUUCAACUUUUUUUCAGAAUUUUUUUUUUUCGUUUUUUUCUUAAUCUCGGGUCACUAUGGCUUAAUCUCAGGUCAAUAUGCUUAAUUUCAAGUCAAAUCGCACUCCGUGGUCAAACUUCCCGGAAAGUCACCCAUCCUCACAUUACUCCAGCCCGAGCACACUUAACUUUAGAGUUCUAUCCAACCCCAGCAUCAGCUCACUUAACAGGCACUUGUUGAUAUAUCUAUCAUAUCAAUCCUAUUAAACCUUUUUUGACAUUUCCAUCAUUUUCUUUUAUUUUUUCUAAAACUGAAAAGGCGGUCCAGGGGGUGUGUGUGUGUGCAUUUGGUGAAAUUUUCGGCCACCUAGAAAGUUAGUAAUGGCGCACCUUCGCAAAGUGCGCCAUUACUAUGUGUAUGACUUGGGCAAACCUUGGUCAAAGUUGGUAAUGGCGCACUUUGUGUAGGUGCGCCAUUACUAAGUUUGACAUAGUAAUGGCGCACCUAUGCAAAGUGCGCCAUUACUAAGUUUGACCAAGGUUUGACCCAGUCAUACACNNNNNNNNNNNNNNNNNNNNNNNNNNNNNNNNNNNNNNNNNNNNNNNNNNNNNNNNNNNNNNNNNNNNNNNNNNNNNNNNNNNNNNNNNNNNNNNNNNNNNNNNNNNNNNNNNNNNNNNNNNNNNNNNNNNNNNNNNNNNNNNNNNNNNNNNNNNNNNNNNNNNNNNNNNNNNNNNNNNNNNNNNNNNNNNNNNNNNNNNNNNNNNNNNNNNNNNNNNNNNNNNNNNNNNNNNNNNNNNNNNNNNNNNNNNNNNNNNNNNNNNNNNNNNNNNNNNNNNNNNNNNNNNNNNNNNNNNNNNNNNNNNNNNNNNNNNNNNNNNNNNNNNNNNNNNNNNNNNNNNNNNNNNNNNNNNNNNNNNNNNNNNNNNNNNNNNNNNNNNNNNNNNNNNNNNNNNNNNNNNNNNNNNNNNNNNNNNNNNNNNNNNNNNNNNNNNNNNNNNNNNNNNNNNNNNNNNNNNNNNNNNNNUGUGAAGGUGCGCCAUUACUAUGUCAACUUAGUAAUGGCGCACCUAUACAAAGUGCGCCAUUACUAUGUGUAUGACUGGGUCAAACCUUGGUCAAACUUAGUAAUGGCGCACUUUUCACCUGGUGCGCCAUUAGUAAUAUGGCCAUUAAUGGCGUACCUAUAUCUGGUGCGCUACUGCUAUAUAGCAGUGGCGCACCACAUACAUGGUGCGCCAUUAAUGUUCAUAUUAGCUAUAGCCGUUUUUCUAGUAGUGCACCGUGGGAACACUUCAUGACAUGGCUUGAUGUGGUGUUAUGCAUGUGCAAAAUUAGUGGUCGAACUGAACUGAUGAUGUGGAGGGCCUGCAUGUCAAGAGAAAUGAGGUACUGGGGAGCUCCUAUUUAGAUAUAGUAGAUUGGAACAGAGCAUUAUGGUUGGGUAUAACUUGCGAAUGAAAACUGCGUUUCAUUAAAAGUGACAUGGCGGGAGAGAACUACACGACCUGUGGGUAGAUGUAGGCAGCGAUAGUCUUUGUGGGAGUCAGAAUAAGCGAGAAAGACACACAACAAGGUUCUGGGGGAGAGUUUGUUAUCAGAACUUGCGGCUAGAUUUGGGAAACACGGACAGCCAAAAAUACGUAGAUCGGCGUAGGUUAGCUGAGCGAGGAAGAGGGACUGCAAGGGGAGAAACGCGGGCAAGUUUUUGUGGGCCAAAUAUUUAGUAAAUAGGUGGCAUAGCGAAGGGCUUCAACUUAAUAUUGAGGAGGCAUGGAGGCUUGAAGCAGAAGAAUGCGGAGAAUAUUGUUGAUAGAGCGAAGAGAACGUUCAGCUUUUUCGUUUUGGGGCGAGGUAUAGGGGUAAGAGAAUCGUAGAAGAAUACCAUGGUGAAGGAAGAAAUCACGGUUGCGUGAGUUAUCGAACUCACUGCCAGUGUCGCAUUGUAGGGAACGAAUAGGGAGAGAGAAGUGAGCUGACACGCGACAUUGAAAAUUAGCAAACAAACUAUGAACAUCCAAUUUUGCACGAAGAGGAAAGGUUUAUAUGAAGUCAGAGUAAUCAUCUAAAACAACAAGAUAAUAUUUGAAACCGGAAACACUAAGGGUAGGUGACCUCCUGGGUGGUAAGGGAGUUCAUUGCAGCAUGAAAGCAGCCUCAUCCCAAGUCGGCGCGGUUAAAGUCGAUGCAUAUGUAGUGGACUGGACGGCUGAGGAGAUGGUGUCGCUGCCUGUGCCGCUUGCUCCCAGGAUGGCGGUGGAGGUACAUGGACGAUGCCAUCGCAGCCGCAGCAGCCUAGUAGAGGGGUGCAUAGGCAGUGUAGGCAUGUGGCGGAGGAGGGGAGCCAAGGAGACCAAGAGCACCGAUGGAUGGGCGAAGCCCGGGCACCCAGGUGCCACUGCACGCCGGAGGAGCGCCGUAGGGUGAAGGCGUUGUCCAGGGCAUGGGGCCUGCAUAAGCCCCGUCCAUGGAUCAUGCUGAGGGCGCCAUGAGGAGAGCAUCGGUGAGGAGGGCACCGGAGCUCUCGCUGCGGGCGUGGACAUUGGUGUCGAAGCCGACGAGGAGGAUGGCGAUUCGUGCUUGGGCAGUCGGUAGAUUGGGUUUUUGCCCUUGUAGUUGGGGCUCGGUUGCCAGCCGGGCGGCGAGUCAGGGCCGGAUGUCGCCGGCGGUGGAGCCGGAGGAGAUGGAGCAGGGCGGGCCGCGGUGUCGAAGAGGUGCGGGGUACUGGCCUUGCGCGCCUGAUUCUGCUCCUCCAUUCGGAGAAUGGAGCGGGCCUCGGCAAGUGUCGGCAAAUGACAGAGGAGCGGGAUGAAGGUCGCCUGCCGGGCGUACCGGUUGUCGAGGCCGCCCAUGAGUGCUGAAGAAAGCAACCACCUCACCGAGUUCGCGGAGCUCGUCCCCGAUAGCCUUGAUGCAUUGGCAGAAGACACCAACAGGGCAAUCACCCUGUGUAAUGGUGCGGAGCUUGGUGUUGAGAGAGGAGACACGGGCAUCACAGUUGUCCUGAAACACCAGCCGUAGUUCGAUCCAAAUGUCGUGAGUAGUCGCGCCGUCGGUGACCACGAGGUUAAAGAGCUCGGUGGAUAUGCGUGUGUACAACCACUGGAUAAGAGCAAGAUCAUCGAGCACCUAGGGUUGUGCGGGGCUGGUUGUGAGUCGCCAGAUAUGUGGUGAAGGAGAGAACAACGGCCCAGGUGAAUCUCAAAUAGAUGUUGCGAGUGGUAAUAUUCAUGGCUAUGGAGAUCCAGAACGAUCGGGAUGAAGGGGUGAUGCCAAUAGUGUCGCUGAAAGAGAGGGAGGAGGGAAUGGUGAGAGUGGCCGGUGGCGGAGGGGGCGGUGCACUGUAGUUGGUGGGAAGAGUUGGCUGGCCGCCGGUGGUGGUGGGAAUAGUUGGCUGGCUGCCGGUGGUGGUGGGAAGGGUUGGUUGUCCACCUGUGUUGGUCAUGGCGACCGUGGGAGGGAAGGAGAGAACCAGGUGUCUGAUACCGUGAAGAUUGAAAGAUUCAAGGCUUAGUUUGGCAGCAUAGUUUUUGAAAAGCCAAAGUAUUCUAAAACCACAGUAUUUUGAUGUGUGGGAUGUGUGGGUAACAAAUACUUUGGUUUCUUAAAAACGUAGUUUCUCUCAGUUUUGUCCAGUUCACCGAAGUGUCUGGGUGGUAUUGUUUUGCUGCAGUUUUUACUACAUUGCCAAAUCAGCAUGUGCUAACUCUGCUACACCUAAAGAGCAACACGACCGGAUUAGUCAGCAAGUGCUAACAGCUGCCAGCUGCAUGUAGCCUUGCCAUGCACGAGGUCUUCCAGACCUCCUGUUUGCGAGUGUGCGCUUCAAUGGCCAACAAUCUACUCCAUGAGCUAGCUUGGCUCGAGACGUGCGGCACUGCCAGAACCCAGAAAGUAAUCGGCAACCAGUGAAUUGUUUAAAUAAGAAGUAGGAGUAACAGACAGAGGAGUCGAAGGCAGCGAUUAGAUUUUCUGAUGUGUACGUCAACAGGCUGAGUGCUCUCCCCGACAACUUCUCUAGGUUCGGUUUAGAAAAAAGUGGCCGCGACCUCUUUUUUAAACAGUAUGAGAGAUACCAGAGUAUCUUAAACCACAUUAUUUUUUUAAGCCAAAAACCUCAAAGCAUUUAAAUACCAAAGUUUUUUCAGAAACCACGGUAUUCCUAAAAAAACUCCGUAAAUGGUUCACUCCCAAACGCACCCUUGUGUUCUGUAUUGCAUUCCAAAAUACAGGUGAGCAGAUACAUAUAGGGUGCUGGGUGCAACCGCAGUAGCAGAGACGUAUAGCCGAUCGGUGUGCUGAUCGUGGGAGUAUAGGAGUGGACGAAGUCCACGCACUAACAGAGAGGAGGGAGGCACGUUGGCUCAGCGGCGCUCUGGGGAGAGUGCGGCGGCGGUAGUGGUGGGUAGGAUCGGGGAAGAAGGUCGCCGGGUCACGGUCGUGAUUUCGGCUGGGCUUAUUUUCCGCGUACCGAAUUGGGAAGUUGUGACUCGCAGGAUCCAAGAUAGACGGCAUCCACUGCGUUUGGCAGUUUUGCAAAUAAAAAAUAAAAUUGGCGUGCCAAAUACAUAUCUCAAUAGAUAAAUAGAUAGAUAGACACAUACAUGUCGCCUAAAAAAACAUACAUACAUACAUACAUACAUACAUACAUACAUACAAGGUAUUAACUAGUUAUUCAUAUAUUAAUCAACUUUCGUAAAUCAGUACGUGUGGGAAUUUUUCUUAUAGAUCCGUCUUUGCAAAACUUGAGAUGUGAAUCAGAACCACUUAGAGAUCGAUCUUGUUUCCAAGAAACAAAAGAUGGUAAAAGUUCAAAUGCAAUUUGCCAAACCAAAUACUACGUAGGAACAGUUGCUACAUUAUUAAUAGUUACUCUUAUUGCACACAACAGACAUUAGUAUUUCUUGCACAAGCAAAUCUGCUGUAAGCAAAUUCAAAAAAUUAAGGAGCAUGUACAGGAGGAGGGGAUGUCAUCGCCACUAGUAUGUCUUGUGAAGACGAUGGGUUUUUGCAAUCUGACUUGCAGUUAUCCAUAGAUUUUGAAGCAAGGAGAAAGCAAUCCGGAAAGAAAAGCACCAAUUCAUGUGUAGGAAGCAUCGAUUUAUAUGGAAGCAAGCUACAUACUACUAUACUAAAGACCUAUGUUAAAAGGACUAGCAAUCAACCUGCUGAAAUCCAGCGGCGGAAUCAGAGGUAACCAUCAUUAACUAGUUUCAGUUUUGGGAACACUCAACGGGGGAAGGUGCCUUGCUUAUCCAACGGGUGCAUGGGAUCCAAUCCGACGCCUCUCUACUGGUCUGAUAGAAUGCUAGGCAUCAGCAGUCUAAUGCCUAGCGGUUCCCUUUCCUAAUACACCCCAUAUCAACAUCUUCCGGGAGAGGAUUGACUAUCAGCAAGCUUUUUCAUAACUCGUUCUUUCAACUUAUGCCAUGGGUUUCGAGCUCUUCGGAGUCCAUAAGAUGUUACUCAAAGUACCCACUAGGCAAUGAAGCCUGGCGUUAUCAGCCGCUACCACUGAUGUUUAUGAGCAUCCGUUACCACAGUAAUGGAUACAAAUUAUUAUACAUUAAGGGACAUGUAACAUAGCUAGCUUAGGGGGACAUGGGGUAGGGUACAUCAAACUCUAUAAAAGCCUACCCCGCUUCCGCCCGGCUACAGGCUCGGAACUCAUGUAUUCUCAAACUCAUACACACUAACACCCUCUGCGAGAUAGGACUAGAGUUGUUGCGAGAUAGGACUAGAGUUAUUACCUCCAUCGUCGAGGGGCCUGAACUCAUGUAUUCCCCAUGAUGUAGUUGCGGCACGGCGACAUGUCGAUCUGCGUCUGCAUGCACCCGCUCGUCGUCGACUUCGCUGAGGCCAGGAUCGCCACAACGAUGAGCACCGCUGCGGCGAGCAUGGACGCCGCCCUCGCUGCCAUUCUUGCUCCCCUUCCUUGCUUGAACACCACCGGCCGUCUCUCUCCCUCUCUCUAGGUACCGUAGUGGUUGCCUUGCCUUGGUUUGUGCCUAGCUCUUCUCUUGCUUUAUAUAUAGGCGGAGAAGGUGGCAGCAGGAACAAGACACGACCGAGAUCGAGGGUGGUUUGGCACCACGACAUGAAUGUCUGGUGUUCCUCGCGGAUAUUGAUUGUUUUCUCUUCUAGAGAAUUAAUUAUACCAAACACCCCAAAUCAACCUCUUCCGAGAGAGGAUUGACUAUCACCAAGCUGCCCCAUAACUAGUUCUUUCAACUUAUGCCACGGGUUUCUAGCUCUUCGGAGUCCAUAAGGUGUUACUCGAACUACUGAAGCCUGGCGUUAUCAGCCACUACCACGGAUGUUUAUGAGCGUCCGUUACCACAAUAAUGGAUACAAAUUAUUAUACAUUAAGGCACAUGUAACAUAGCUAGCUUAGGGGGGCAUGGGGUAGGGUACAUCAAUCAAACUCUAUAAAAGCCUACCCUGUAUUCUCAAACUCAUACGCAAUAACACCCUCUGCGAGAUAGGACUAGAGUUGUUGCGAGAACCUCCACCGUUGAGGGGUCUGGAUCUGUAUACAUCUUUCCAUCCCACAUUCUAUCUUGAUAGAUCAAGCUCUUUUCCUCUAUCCCUCUUACUGUCAGAUUUAGCACCACGACAUUUUUUUCUUCUAUCAAAAAGGUGGUUAGACCCCCGGCCUCUGCAUCAAUCGAUGCAUACAGUCAUCUUUAUUAGUUAUUCAACAAAGGUCUGACAAGAACAUACAUCAAGCAACCCGAAACCACCACCCACACCUACAGACUCGAUAAUAUGGAGUGCUCUCACCCUUCAUAUCUAAAACCAGUGUCAUCGCCGAUCCAUCCACAUAACGUAUCGGAACCAACAGCCGGUGCAGAAGACCUAAAGCGCACAUCACAUGCACACGUUUUAGAAGCCGUCAUCAUCAUCGUGCCACUGACCCAUCUUCAGGAUAGAGAUCCGCAUCAUCCUUACCAGUCCAGACAACCGUCGACGUCACCACGCCGCGGCGCCACCGCCCUGCGUGUCCAUCUAGACGCGAAGACUCUGAAAGAUCUGUCGUGCGUAGCACCUGCCGACCAGGCAUGACACAACGUAGCACCUGUCGGCCAGGCAUGACUUGGCAUCUCCACCGAAGCUCCGUGCAAGACUAAGCCGCUCCACCUCCUGCCUCUGUCUUCCAGCGCUGCUCCACAAACGGUGCUCCCAAAAGAGGAACGACACCGUAGUACCGUCAUCGUCCGAUCUGGAUUACCAGAUCUUAGAGUUUCCCCCGAAGCAGCACGAGUGAGUCGACAUAUAUUACACGACGAUGCCUUCAUGAAGGUAACGACGCAAGACGCCGCCAUCGCCCCGCCAUCGGCUUGGUUUUCACCGGAAACUCUGUUUUCCCAACUCACAACCGGGACUAGAUGACGGAUCUGGAGAUCCGACCACCCAGCCUCAGGCUGACCAUCUCUGACGGAGGAGGUGGCCACCACCGCCACACCCAGGGCCGCAGCCCCCGCCGACGUCCUCGAGUUGCGGGUCGAUCCCAGGGACAGCAAGCCAUUGACGGAACGGUAGACGAGGUUGCGGCCCGCCGAAGCCCAUCUAGGCCCAGAUCAGGCACCGUCGCUGGACCUGCCGUCGUACGCCGUGGCCGUCCCGCACACACUGCCGUAGAUCCGGCCAUCACGGGCCGCCGCCGUCCGGACCGAAGCGCGGGCUGAGGAGAAACGCCGCCGCCGCUGCAGCACACAGGCUUUUCCUGCGACGCCCCCGGCGGCGGCGGCGGCGGCGGGAGGAGGCGCUGGAGUGAACGGGGGGAGGCGGAGGAGGCGCCGCACGGGAGCAGGAUAGGGUUAGGUGCGGGAGCGGGAUAAUGUUCCUCUUUCUCAAACGAUUCUUCUAAGGUAGCACCACGACAUGCAGCUUGGUCUUCUCCACACCCAACCACAAGCAUGAAUCUGCUCAGCUAUCCUAGCGAGCAUGGCUCAGCUAGAUCUGCCUGAGGACUAGCUCGCCUAGCUGCAGAGUGCGUGAUGCGUCCAUGCACGCACGCAUGCAUGUUCAUGUCACCUGUGUGGCUCAAGGAUGACGAUGGAAUAGAAUGUUGGGUGAUGAUGCUGAAAUAAAAAGACUUUUCCUGCCUUCUCCCGUGUUUCCAAUCUCCGUCACUUGCUAUAACUUUUUCAACCAAAAUAGCGUAGGGAAACCAUCGGAAAAAAAAAACUUACGAAAUAACUACGAAUUUUUUAGACACAAAUAAGCCGCUGAUCAGGCUGCACAUUACAGCAGGACACAUGACAUGCUCUACAAGCUAGUAAUUUCCUGGUACUGUUGCUUUCGACGAGAUUGAGUGGACUAUCACCCCAGAGGGACACAUAUAUUUGUUACUCGUGAGCGUUGAAUUCAUUCAUCAACCUUUAGUUUGCCGAUUUACCUCCCAAUUCAAGCCGGCACUGUGUUUGGGAAAUGCUACUCCCUGGCCUCUGCUUAUCAUGCCCAAUUCAUGGGGCCAUGACCACUUCAUGGGGCCUGCCAUUUGAAAAUUUCGGGCUCCUAAAAAAUGUAUUCAAAACUGGGUAUGGUUAACAGGAUCGUUUUGCCAAGUGUGGAUGGUCAAAUUGUGGGCUUCACCCAUUGUGGAACAAAAUUAUUGCAUGGCUUUGAUGACGCCAAGCCUCGUGGAUAGAGGUGGUGCACGACGGGCACAAACCAUGAAAGGCGGUGGCAUCACUCAUCAAACUUGUCUCUUGGAGGUAUGGAAUGAGCGCGAUGCAAGGGUCUUCAACAAUGCUUCUCGGUUCCUCAAUCAUCAUCUCCAAUAUACGAAAUGAGACGAGCAAUUGGGUUUAUGCCUGCUCGAAACACUAGUGUAAUUUAAUGCUAGAAAAGUAGCUUUUUAUUCCUUCAGGCUUUCAAACUUUAAUCUGAACUCUCUUUAGUUAGGACACUCGAGUAGGAUGAUGCGCGACCCAUCAUGCAUCGUUAACAUCAUGGUGCAUGAUUUUUUUUUUCAAAAUUUCCAAAAAUUUCAAAAUUGUGAACAAUUUUUAAAUUCACAUCUUUUUUCAAUUUCACAAACCAUUUUCAAAUCCAUGAUUAUUUUUUCUUCCCAUUUUCAAAUCCUUGGCAGCACCAAGCGGGCUGCCAACAUGGACGAACUACUCGGCUGACCUCUACCGAGUGGAUUUGAAUGCACUAGGUACGUCCAUACGUCCAUAAGUGUAGCCAUGCAUGCAUCAACCUUUUUGCUGACCCUAGUCAUGCCGAACUACGUACUGCAGUUCAGUAACUAGCCGGGUCGCGGCAUGUGGGGCGUUAAUUAGCUACUAAGGCUGCCAGCCAUCGAGCUCGGAGUCUCGGACCGUGCGUGUCCGCCUAUAAAUACACCGGUGUUGGCGACCACAUGCAACCACGUGACCACGUGCUGUUGUCGACGCCUCUCGCAGCGCCCCUUCCUCAGCUUUGCUGAGAGGUUCUUCCCUUAGGUGCACACAUGCACUACAUUUUCUGCCCAGCCCUCACGGCCUCCUUCUUUUUGUUAACUCAACUCAAUGCAGAUGGUCGCGGUCCCGCUGCCUAGCAAGCGGAUGCCAUUGCUGCAAGAAUGCACGAAAAUUGAAGAACGAGUCAGAAGCCUGUCAGGGAAAAAUCCACUCAAUCACCAUUUUAUUGCGCAUAGUCCAAAGGGUCCACGUCAGCGCCGCAAAGAUAAGCCAGAACAAGCGGCGAUUGCGUCCCCUCUGGGUGGCCCUAGAUUGCAGUAACUCUGCCAAAUCUAGGGCCUCCCAGUCUGACCCAAGGGCCUCGUGCACAAAGGACCAAAGUGCUUGGGCCGCGAGACAAGAGAACAUAAUAUGGGUUCCUGUCUCUGGGACGUGACAUAGGGGAUAAAUACCAUCAUCCGGGCUGUGCCGCUUAAGAACCUCUGUUCCAGAGGGAAAGCGGUCACGCAGAGGCUCUUCCCUUGGUGCGCACAUGCGCUACAUUUUUUGCCCAACCCUCAUGGCCUCUUUUUUAUUAACUCAAUGCAGUACAUAUAUAUGCACCAGGGGUCGGACACACCCACAAACCCGGCCACCACGUUGGCCACUAACCCAACUAAUUAGCUCCAUGCACUAACUACCCAUGGCCAUGUCCAGUGCGUGCGCAUCAUUGACUCAACUCUACACGACCCAUGAAUGCACGCGAACGGACUAACUAGUACACCGAUUCUCUUGGCUCCAGUCCAGCUAACCCAUUCAACCAGUCUAGCUCCAGCGCGCCUGGCCGCUUCACGCGACCGUGCCGCAUCCCAUAGCACCGCAGGCAACUCCUAACCAAUUCUACCUGCAUAACAAAAACAAACAUGCUCAUACACAUACAGGGCCGGCCCUAGAAUUAAGAAGGCCCUAGUGCAAAUGAGGUAUUAGAGGGUAACAUAAAUAAUUUCACCGGUAUAUACUACAUAUCAUGAAAAUUAUUAUAAAAAUAUAAAAAUCAAAAAUACAGUUUAUUAGCAAAUAAAGUCUUACUACACCAUAUAUAUAUGUGAUUACAUUAAAUAAUAAUUAUAAGAUACAUGUACUUAGACAUAAACAACUUACCGAAUAAAUACGAUGUGGAGAAGUGUAGGGGGGCAAAUGCCCCCGUCCACGGACAACAGUUUUGAAUAUAUGUUUCGCAAACCACAUUUUUUCUAGUUUUAUUUAGGUAUGUAUAUAUAGUGGGCCCUUAUUUGAGAUGGGCCCUAGGCCGCCGCACCUUUUGCCAUGGCCUAGGGCCGGCCCUGUACACAUAUCAAGAUUAGUGCAAACCAACUUGUGGUUGGAUAGAUAGAGGGACAGUGGUAACCCCAGCUCACCAGGGUUUAAAUCCAGCUGGGGUUUAAAUCCUGAUGCUCGCAUAAUUCCUAGAUUUAUUUCAUGAUUUCCGGCGAUGCGCUUUUAAUGGGAGAAGACGUUCGUAAAUCUCAAGAUGAUAUGUCGGCUUAGUCUCUCGAAGGUGCUCAUAGAGAUAUGAUGUGUGUGUGUGCAUUAAUAGGGAUGAGUGUAUGCGCGUAUGUAUGAGCGCUUGCGUCUGUACUGUGUUAAAAAAAAUUAGUGCUAACACCUAUUUCUAUUUUAUUUCUGGACGCACCACAGCUCAACUCAUGGAUACAACUCACGCCACAAACACACGUCCAUCAAGUACUCCUUGAAAGCUCUCCAUGACCUAGCUACACAACUAACAGACAUGCAUGCACUAACAAUCCAUCUCUGAACUAACUUCCGUCCGGUUGAUCAGGCUUCAACCCCACACGCACCUUCUGUUCGACGCGGCCGUAUGCUUCUGCUGUGCCUCUGAUGAGCCAGGUCUCCUGCUCAGACGAGCGUUCUAAUUAUCCGUAUGAAACGGUCACAAAUGCUCAAUCCGACGAAGACAAAAUCCACAAACUCGGCAUGGAAUACACCUCGUCCGAAUACAUCAUGUUUGCUUCAAAGUAUACAAAUGUAACAUCCUUUGAGUUAAACGUGUUUGGGAAUUUUUACUGUUAACAUGGCAUGCCUCGUUCACUACUGCCGGAUUACUGUUUCCGGUGAAAAGAUUGAUAAAUCUCCCACAUACCUAUAAGGAACACGGUACUAGCUCUGCCAACUCUAAGGAUGUUACUGUCCUCACGCGUGAUCACUGGAAAGUGAAUAUUAACUAGUUUUAGCCACUUGCACUCUUAUUCUUUGGAUAAUUACCAGUCAGUAAGAGCCCUACUCUCUUCCCAGGAUCUCCAAGACUAUUUCCACUUAACCUCUCAGAGGAAGCUUUUUUUCAAUGCAACCUUAUGCGCAUGUCUUGUGAAAUGAUUUCUCCCUUUCUGAUCAGCCAGAAAUAUGUCGUUUCCAUGGCCUGCAAUUACAUUUCAAUGUAUAUCAAGCCUAUAGUUUGUUAAUUGGAAAUCACCCAACUAUCGCGGCAGUGCAUUUGGCAAAACAUGGUGUCAGAGUAAACAUAAAGAUUUUUGUGGUUGUUUAUCAACAAUGGAGUCAACAUCAGAGAAUUAUACCACAGAAAAAAAAUUAUUCAUCCCUCACUAAAGCUAUGUCAUGCGUCGGGAAUGGAGUAAAGGUUGUUGUCAAAGCCAUAUGGGUCUUACCUCUGCUUCUAUGUGGGGGUUUAUAUUAGAACUUAGUACUCCCUCCGUAAAGAAAUAUAAGAGUGUUUAGAUCACUAUUUUAAUGAUCUAAACACUCUUAUAUUUCUUUACAAAGGGAGUAUAUAUUUGUUAUUAUGUUUCGGCCUUAUGCAAGAACAUAAUGAUACAUCCCGCUCAAAUAGUUGUAGUAAACGAUGGUCAUCGGAUCACGAUAUCAAGAGCGUAUUGGUGCUGAGACAGGCACAAUUCAGCUGAGCCGCGGUGAACGUUGACACCCAGCGAGGAACUUUGUAAAUGGGGAACGAAAGCACACCUCUGUGCCAACAAAGAAUUUGUACUUUGUACAAGAUGCCAGCUGGUGGCCAGACAUGAUCGCGCCGGGCUGCGGGUCGGAACAAAAUACGGAACGAAUUAGCUACUUAUCAGUCGACUGAUUUUUCAGUUUGGGGUAAGUCAAUUUUUGAACGAAGGAAAGACCUCGCCGGAGAUAAGGAAAGACCUCGCCGGAGAUAAGGAAGGGACUCGCAUGAUUCUGGAAUAAAAUGUUGGGUCAUGAACUCAUGAUCGGUGCUGGAAUAAAAUGAGUUUUCCUACCUUCUCCUCCGUUUCCUCCCUCUGUCACUUGCUGCAAUCUUUUCAACGAAAACCACGUACAAGAAUUGGCAACCGUCCGAAAUACGCCCGAAGUUACGAUGAGUCACUCACAAAUAAGCCGCAGGACGCUGCACAUUGCAGCAGAAAACAUGAGAUGCUCUACAAGCUAGUAAUUGCUUUGCUGUACUGUUGGUUCCAUCGGGAUUGAGCACAAGAAGGCACACCUUUGAUUACUUGUACGAUGUGUGGCUUUAAACACUAUGUCACCUGCUCAUUAACUCGUGUGCAUUGAAUUCAUUUAUCAACCUUUAGUUUGGUGGUAUACAUUCCAAGUUCAGCUCCAUAUAAUCAAGCCCGCACUUUUUUUUGGAAGGGCAAAAGAUUUGACACAUUUAUUAAUUAAGAAUGAGCUUAACAAAGUCACUAACCCGAAGGCGAAAGAAAUGCCUACUCUCCAGACAUAAUAUCACUCAAGUGCCGAGCCCCGGCUAACACCCACUUGCACGUUUCAUCUCGGAUCUUGUCGAUGACUCUCAAGAUGUUGUUGAAGACUCUCGGGUUGCCUCAUUCCAAAUUACCCAUGGACGUUACUCCAUGGCCUCUGCUUAUCAUGCACAACUAAUGGGGGCACGGUCACUUCGUUUUAGUCUACCAUUUAUAAAAUUUGGGCUCUUGAAAGUUUUUGGGCAUGGCACUAUUCACAUCUCGACUUGUCUUUUUUGUUUCUCUUUGUAUAUUUCGGAUUUUGAUCUGAAUUUUUAGGGGUUGUAGACACAUGUGUUCUGAAACUUCACAAAAAUAUUACACAUCUAAAAUUGAAAUUUUCAAACUGGUAUCAUGGGAGCACUUACAAUACUGGAAAAACUGUCUACGCUGAGUUAUUUCAGCUAAGCCGAGAGCCAAAGUGCUGGCUCUCGGCAAAUUGGAUGAAUACCUUACUUCUAGUAUCUUUCCGGCAUUGGUGGAACAUAAUUCAGAUCCGUAUCACACUGAAACUAGUUGAAGUCAUCCUUGUCAUGAAGGAGAAUGUAGUUAUGCAGUGUCAUAAUUGCCGCAACAAUCAAUUUCUGUGUUUCAAUCAAUCUUGAGCAGUAUUUUCCAUUUCAUUUUCAGAACACCAAAGGCCCUCUCUAUGCAAUUGCAUCCGCUUGGAGGAGUGGAUCUUUUUUAACUUCUCCAUAGGAUUAGUAGGGGGUGCACCUCUCCGCAUGGUGCUUUUCCUGAAAGUCACAUCCCCGUUCGGUAUCCCGCAACUUGAGUUUCGAAAAUAUGUUGUGAUCACCUUUUAGCUUGUCCUAUUUGAUUUUAAAUCAGACAUGUUUGUAGUCGAGCCCGAUUCACAUCUUGAAUUUCCUUCACACCUCCUCAAAUACAUUUGGCAUCAAAUAAUUGUUUGGCCUAUUUGCAUCCUUCACUUGCUCCACAAACAACUCAGUGAGAAUCCUAGUAUUUUCGUCAUAGGUCCAUUCGGUGGCCAUGCUCAACAAUUGUCUGAGAAAAUGCUCACAUGUCCUAGGAAAAUACACAUGGAUUGGAGCGAAGGUGCUUCUGUGUAUAGCCAAACUCUUGUAAUAUAAAUUGAUGAUGCCCGGCCUGUUGUUGGGGGAAGCUUGUUAAAUAAAUGCAUUCAUAGUUGCUAAGACAGUCUGAUGAAAAGCAAAUGUAAGCUUAUAAAACUAUAGAAACUGAGAACUGUGUAAAAAGAUAAAAAAUAAAUUCAGUUAAAAGAAUGCUAUUUCUAACAAAAACAUGAAGGAUGAACUACAUAGGUAUGCUGCAAUCGCCUAACACAUAUAUUGUCAAUAAAAAGUCUAGUGUAGAAAAUUAACUUAUGACCAACAUGUAUUAAUUGAUGAUGUGGCAAUGUUGUGUGCAUAGAUUAGUGCAAAAAAAUAACUUAUGACUUACAUGCAUGCCUUGCUUAUGUGGCAUGGUGGCAUGACUAAGAAAAAUAGGUAAUGGUUUGUAGCUAUUUAGGAAUAGAGGGUGCGUUCAAUUUUUUUAUUGUGUCCAUAUGCGCAUCUGCCCAUUAUUUGCACACAUAUAAACGCAUCCCAGUAUACUUGGCACACUUCAAAUUAAGGAGCUAGGGUACAUUUGCACACGUUGCACAAAAAUCACUACACAUCAUACAUUCAAAGAUAGCACCACAAGAAAGUAAAAUACCCAUCACCAUACCUGCCACAGGCAGAGCUUGGGGAAGUAGUACAAGGGGAGCUCACCACGGGUUUGAGCGAGGACUACCGUCUGGGUCAGCCCGGAAAGGAUGGCAAGCUUAGAGGUGCGGGGCAAAUGGGUAAGCGUCAGUGGGGAAGCUCGACAGUCGGCGAUGGGGUAGUUGUGUGCCUAGGGUUUGCAUCACAAGGUCGAANNNNNNNNNNNNNNNNNNNNNNNNNNNNNNNNNNNNNNNNNNNNNNNNNNNNNNNNNNNNNNNNNNNNNNNNNNNNNNNNNNNNNNNNNNNNNNNNNNNNNNNNNNNNNNNNNNNNNNNNNNNNNNNNNNNNNNNNNNNNNNNNNNNNNNNNNNNNNNNNNNNNNNNNNNNNNNNNNNNNNNNNNNNNNNNNNNNNNNNNNNNNNNNNNNNNNNNNNNNNNNNNNNNNNGGCAGAGGGGGAAUCUACUCAAUCCUACCUAACCUACCUAACUAAAUACCCCUGAAUUUCACUAUCAUGAUGUGGAUCCCCAGCGAGGCAUUACAGGCGCGGCCACCACUGCAAUGGGUGGGUGGCGGUGCUUGCGGUCCUCUCACUGACGUUCUUCCAAAAGUGGCGACAAUGUUGCUCUGUCAUAAUACCAAUCUUGAUCUACUUAUCAUCACAAGAAACACCUAUGCAGCGAAGGUGAAGAUUUUAACCAUGGGGCGGCAUCACCCUAGGUUGAUACUCUAGAAGAAGGCCGCAAUAGAGAAACACCAGACGAGGGCAAAGCAGAGAAGCAAAGGAUGGAGAGGCGAUGGUGGCACCGUCCUUGCCCCAAACGUAGUUGUGUUCGCCUCGCUUUGUCGCCUUCAGGAAAAGCAAGUACACCCUUAUGUUUUUUCCUAUUAAGUAUUUUCUCAUCUUAGUUAUGAAAGAGAGAAUACUAAUUGCAUGUUGUAUACCAUCUUCUCAAUUUUUCCAAGAGUUUAGAAGGAAUUGCAACAACAUAUCAAGUGUUACUGUCCUUUGGCUGUUUACGGUGGUGUGUACGAGUUUGGAGCAUAUGUUGCUAGUGAUGUUUUUGUCCACAUGGGUGGCGGCAUAAUGUAUGUACUCCCUCCAUCGAAAUAUAUAUGGCCUAAUACAUUUUUCGAGGUUGCCUUUGACCAUUGAUAAAAUUGUUAAUAUAAGAGAUGUACGAUAUAAAUUAAGAACACAUUUCACAUACGAAUUUGACGGUAUGCUUCGUGUAGCAUGCAUGCCAUAUAUUAUUGAUCUAACAUGUGGUAAAACUUAACCUUGAAAACUUAUUAUGCCCUAUAUUUUUUAUUGGAGGGAGUAUAGGCUUUCCACUCCAUACAUCUAGGCAUAGUCACGGUCUUGUUUGACUUUGCUUUUACCGGCAUAGUACUUUGUGCGAGUUUGCAUUGGUUGUGUGUAUUCUGGUUAUGUAGAGGUGUGGGUAUAAACUCAUUAGCUUGUAUCACCUUGAUGCCAUAUUAUGUGUCAAUAAACACCCUUAUUUAUCAAAAAGAACUCUCCUCACAUCUUCCCACAUAACUUUUGGGAUAUUCUCAGAAUUAUACAAGGGGAGAUGUUGUACCACGGGUAGUGUUAAGAGUAUGAUUAGCUGAUUAUUGUUAAUUAGGUUGCUUAUUGCUACUCAAUAAAGACUAGUUAGAUGCAUUUAUUUGUCUAUCUGUCUCGUUCUUUACUUUAACACAACCAAAGGAAAUGGAUGUGGAUGGAAGUACUACACGGAGCGAGCCAGCAGGCAGCCAUCAUUGACGAACUACCCCGCUGACCCUCUACCCACUGGGUUUCAAUGCAGAACGUCCCUAGGUGUAGCCAUGCAUGCAUGAAUGCAUCAACCUUUUUGCUGACCGUAGUCAGGUCGAACUAGUAGUGCAAGUGCAAUUCAGUACCAGGGUGUUCAACUGAUAAUUGCACAGGACGAGAGCGAUUGAUAAUGCGGGAUUGUUCUACUGUCUUAAUCAACCACCUGCUCCGUCGGCGGCCAUGGCCACGUAUUCGGACGGUGCAUGGCCAGGCCAGCUAUAAAUACCCCAGGAGUUCCAGCACCCCUCUCCUCACCACCAUCUCUCCCAUUCCCAUCACACAAGACACAACGUACACCUCUGCGACCGCGAUAGCGAGAGUGGAAGAGUAGAUCGACGGGCAUGGCGAUAUGAGGAAGGAGGUCCUCCUGGCGGCCAUGAUGCUGGCGCUGGUGGUGGCGGCGCCGGGCGGGGCGCGUGCCGCGUGCGUGGUGGGGCAGCUGACGGUGUGCAUGCCGGCGAUCACCACCGGUGCCAAGCCGAGCGGCGCGUGCUGCGCCAACCUGCGCGCGCAGCAGGCGUGCUUCUGCCAGUACGCCAAGGACCCCUCCCUCGGCGCCUACAUCCGCAGCCCCCACGCGCGCGAGACCCUCGUCACCUGCGGCCUCGCCGUCCCGCACAGCUAGGCGCCAGGCCGCCUAGCGAGUAUGUAUGGCUCAGCUAUAGCUGCCUCCGCCGUCCAUCAGAUGAGAGAUGAGACUAUAGCUAGCCUAGCUGGUGAGUGCGCGAUGCGUCCAUGCCGCAUGCAUCCAUGUUCCUGUUCGAUGGAU